rnacentral:tRNA from 1 species
UGGGAGAUCGUCCAAUGGUAGGACAGAGGACUUUGGAUCCUCUAAUCUAGGUCCGACUCCUAGUCUCCCAG